UAACGCGUGAGGAACCUGCCUCAAAGAGGGGGACAACAGUUGGAAACGACUGCUAAUACCGCAUAAGCCCACAGCUCGGCAUCGAGCAGAGGGAAAAGGAGCAAUCCGCUUUGAGAUGGCCUCGCGUCCGAUUAGCUAGUUGGUGAGGUAACGGCCCACCAAGGCAACGAUCGGUAGCCGGACUGAGAGGUUGAACGGCCACAUUGGGACUGAGACACGGCCCAGACUCCUACGGGAGGCAGCAGUGGGGAAUAUUGCACAAUGGGGGAAACCCUGAUGCAGCGACGCCGCGUGGAGGAAGAAGGUCUUCGGAUUGUAAACUCCUGUUGUUGAGGAAGAUAAUGACGGUACUCAACAAGGAAGUGACGGCUAACUACGUGCCAGCAGCCGCGGUAAAACGUAGGUCACAAGCGUUGUCCGGAAUUACUGGGUGUAAAGGGAGCGCAGGCGGGAAGACAAGUUGGAAGUGAAAUCUAUGGGCUCAACCCAUAAACUGCUUUCAAAACUGUUUUUCUUGAGUAGUGCAGAGGUAGGCGGAAUUCCCGGUGUAGCGGUGGAAUGCGUAGAUAUCGGGAGGAACACCAGUGGCGAAGGCGGCCUACUGGGCACCAACUGACGCUGAGGCUCGAAAGUGUGGGUAGCAAACAGGAUUAGAUACCCUGGUAGUCCACACCGUAAACGAUGAUUACUAGGUGU
rnacentral:rRNA from 1 species